UACGUAGGUGGCAAGCGUUGUUCGGAAUUAUUGGGCGUAAAGGGCGCGUAGGCGGUUUGUUAAGUCGGUUGUGAAAGCCCGGGGCUCAACCCCGGAGAGUCGACCGAUACUGGCAGACUAGAGUACGGAAGAGGUAGCUGGAAUUCCCGGUGUAGCGGUGAAAUGCGUAGAUAUCUGGAGGAACACCGGUGGCGAAGGCGCUCUGCUGGACCAUAACUGACACUCAGGGACGAAAGCUAGGGGAGCGAAUGGG
rnacentral:rRNA from 1 species